GACGAACGCUGGCGGCGUGCUUAACACAUGCAAGUCGAACGGAAAGGCCCUGCUUUUGUGGGGUGCUCGAGUGGCGAACGGGUGAGUAACACGUGAGUAACCUGCCCUUGACUUUGGGAUAACUUCAGGAAACUGGGGCUAAUACCGGAUAGGAGCUCCUGCUGCAUGGUGGGGGUUGGAAAGUUUCGGCGGUUGGGGAUGGACUCGCGGCUUAUCAGCUUGUUGGUGGGGUAGGGGCUUACCAAGGCUUUGACGGGUAGCCGGCCUGAGAGGGUGAACGGCCACAUUGGGACUGAGAUACGGCCCAGACUCCUACGGGAGGCAGCAGUGGGGAAUAUUGCACAAUGGGCGGAAGCCUGAUGCAGCAACGCCGCGUGCGGGAUGACGGCCUUCGGGUUGUAAACCGCUUUCGCCUGUGACGAAGCGUGAGUGACGGUAAUGGGUAAAGAAGCACCGGCUAACUACGUG
rnacentral:rRNA from 1 species